CUAGUAAGCCGGGUGAUUACCCCCACCAAUACUGGUGAAGGGAGGAAAGUCCGAACUUCCAUCUCCUCUACUAAUAGAGGGGGUAAAAAAGUAGCGGCUAACCGCCGUCCACCGUGAGGUGAGAGGUGCGAAAAGAAACGCUUUGAGCGAAAGCAAGAAGCCCCCACACCAAAAGUUGGUCUAGGGAAUCCUGACGGAAACGCCAGGCUGAUACGGCUAAAUCCUUACUGGAAGCAAGAGUAAACCGGAAAUUCUGAGAUUUAUCUUAGAAAUUCCGUGAAAAGUAACUCGCUUGAGCCUGGAAGUAAUUCCAGGCCUAGAUCGAUAAUCACACAAAUACAGAAUUCGGCUUAUAGACUUACUAGGACU
rnacentral:RNase_P_RNA from 2 species